GUUGUGAAUCGCUCCGGGGUUUCCAGCCACCAGAAUGCUUCUGCAUCUUCGUGAGUCCUCCGUCUCCGUCUAUUCUCCAUCGUGAGUCCUCUCCUUCGAAUGCUUCUGCACCUUCGUGAAUCAUCUCCAUCAAGCGCUUCGGCAACAUCGUGAAUCAUCGUUAUCGACUGUGUCACAUCCAUUUCGUUCAUCGGAGUUGAUAAAUAGUAGAUUCGAUGUUGAUGGUGAUGAGGUUAUCUAGACGAAACAGAGGACAGAAGGAAAAGAUGAUUGAAGACUUGAUCCUUACAUAAUCCAAUUGUGAGAUGACAAGAGGUGAUGGUUGUUAGUUAACAGUAGUUUGUUUUGUUUGAAAAAAGAGAAAACUCAUGUGAGGAAGGUGAUGGUA